UACGUAGGUGGCAAGCGUUGUCCGGAUUUACUGGGCGUAAAGAGCGCGCAGGCGGUCGUUCAAGUCGCGUGUGAAAGCCCCCGGCUCAACUGGGGAGGGUCACGCGAUACUGAUCGACUCGAAGGCAGGAGAGGGUAGUGGAAUUCCCGGUGUAGUGGUGAAAUGCGUAGAUAUCGGGAGGAACACCAGUGGCGAAGGCGACUACCUGGCCUGUUUCUUGACGCUGAGGCGCGAAAGCUAGGGGAGCAACGGGGAU
rnacentral:rRNA from 1 species